rnacentral:misc_RNA from 1 species
ACAAUUGCAGGACAAGCAAAACCAAUGUCUGUUCAAGUGCAGUACAAAAAUGGUACCAAAUUGAAAAUUUGAAACCAAAUUUAAUAGUCACUUUCCUGCACACGAAAUGUGCCAAAAAGAAAAGAAAGUCAUUUACAACUAGAGUAUUUCUGACAACUGCUAUAGCAGGGUGCACACCUCAACGAGAGUUUUAAGCAUAUGAAUGGUGUCUGUGACGAUCCUUAUCCCUCGACGAAUAAGAAGAGCUGUGAUAGUCACGAUCACGUGAUGAAAGAUAUC